GAGCUUGCUCCUUGGGUGACGAGUGGCGGACGGGUGAGUAAUGUCUGGGAAACUGCCCGAUGGAGGGGGAUAACUACUGGAAACGGUAGCUAAUACCGCAUAACGUCGCAAGACCAAAGUGGGGGACCUUCGGGCCUCACACCAUCGGAUGUGCCCAGAUGGGAUUAGCUAGUAGGUGGGGUAAUGGCUCACCUAGGCGACGAUCCCUAGCUGGUCUGAGAGGAUGACCAGCCACACUGGAACUGAGACACGGUCCAGACUCCUACGGGAGGCAGCAGUGGGGAAUAUUGCACAAUGGGCGCAAGCCUGAUGCAGCCAUGCCGCGUGUAUGAAGAAGGCCUUCGGGUUGUAAAGUACUUUCAGCGGGGAGGAAGGCGGUGAGGUUAAUAACCUCACCGAUUGACGUUACCCGCAGAAGAAGCACCGGCUAACUCCGUGCCAGCAGCCGCGGUAAUACGGAGGGUGCAAGCGUUAAUCGGAAUUACUGGGCGUAAAGCGCACGCAGGCGGUCUGUCAAGUCGGAUGUGAAAUCCCCGGGCUUAACCUGGGAACUGCAUUCGAAACUGGCAGGCUAGAGUCUCGUAGAGGGGGGUAGAAUUCCAGGUGUAGCGGUGAAAUGCGUAGAGAUCUGGAGGAAUACCGGUGGCGAAGGCGGCCCCCUGGACGAAGA
rnacentral:rRNA from 1 species